UACAGAGGCCCCAAGCGUUGUCCGGAAUCACUGGGCGUAAAGGGUGUGUAGGUGGUUUUGUUAGUCUCUCGUUAAAACCCACGGCCUAACCGUGGAGGUGCGAGGGAUACGGCAAGACUUAGAGGAUGCGAGAGGUAUAUGGAACUCAUGGAGUAGGGGUGAAAUCCGUUGAUAUCAUGGGGAACACCAAAAGCGAAGGCAAUAUACUGGCGCAUUCCUGACACUGAAACACGAAAGCGUAGGUAGCGAAUGGG
rnacentral:rRNA from 1 species